UACGGAGGUGGCAAGCGUUGCUCGGAAUCACUGGGCGUAAAGGGCGCGUAGGCGGGGAGGUAAGUCGGGUGUGAAAUCCCUCGGCCCAACCGAGGAACUGCGCCCGAGACUGCUUCUCUUGAGUCCCGGAGAGGAAGGUGGAAUUCCCGGUGUAGCGGUGAAACGUGUAGAGAUCGGGAGGAACACCGGUGGCGAAGGCGGCCUUCUGGACGGUGACUGACGCUGAGGCGCGAAAGCGUGGGGAGCAAACGGG
rnacentral:rRNA from 1 species